GGGUACCCUCGUACAUUGCCGUGGUAAUAGCAGUGACCCGUGUAAUUGCGUGAGAGAACCACAUCAGUACCAUCCUUCAAAUAAUGUGUUUCUGUGAAGCUGCUGGCUAGCAGGCCCUCGUUCCUCUCCAGGUGGAUGACCAGACGUUCCCCUUCAGCUUGUACCACCAACUGCAGCAGGGACGGGUGGUUCUUGGAAUAAAUGCUGUUUGCUGGUCUCCACUGUUCUCCAUUCAAAAGGAGGGGAACUGUUAUCUCAUAAUCUUUUGACUGGUCCUUCAGCAUCUGCUGUCUCAAGGACUCCAACUUGCUGUCCACAUUCUGACCUCGCGCUCGGGGUGAUGCUAGGAGCAGCGCGCUGAGGCUCAGCAGCAGCACGGAGGGGCGCGGAGCGGGGGAGCGCUGCCGCUCCGCAAGGAGACGCUUUGACAUCUUAGCCCGGACUGAGGGAGACAAACUUUCAUCAGCUGGGGCUGGAGAGCAGCACCAUCAUAUACAGUUACAGAGAGGAGCGAGCCGGGACUCAGGAUGUGAGAGAUUUCCUGCAUGCAGUUAACUCCAAACCCCUCCUGCUCCUGCAUCAGCCGCUGAUGAGUUGGGCUCUGCUUUCUUAGGAAAAAAAAAAAAAAAAAGUUUGGUGCUUUUUUUUUUUUUUUCUUCUGUUUAAAGAGUCCCUCUCUCUCUCUCUCCCUCUCUCUUUUUGGCAAGGUUAAUUCUGUUGACCGUUGCACCAAACGAACCGCCCGGCCCGGCCGGGCUGCGCUCCCCGCACCGAACAGCUGAGCCCCGCACGCUGCUGGCACCGCCCCCCGCCCCGCACCGCACCGCAGCUGCCCGGCUUCCCCCAUUCCCGCAGCGCUGUGCUGAAGUACCCGACAACACACGCGCAGAGCUGCCAGAUGCAUUUGUUCAAAUCUUCCUCCUUCAAAUGAUCGUUACCAACCGGGAGAAUAACCUAACACGGAUUAUCUAAUCCUUGGUGUGCCACCAAAGCACACACAGUGCCCACGCGUUGCACGGUGCUGCAGAGCAACAGAAAGUUCCCAGUCCUGCAGACCAACACAGAACUUUACAGUGCAGUUUUAUUUUUGGGUCAGUUUUCUCCAGUCUUGCAGUUUGGGUGUUGAUACUGAUUUCUGCCUGUUGAUCCCAUAUUCUUUCUACAUUAAACAACCGGUUAGAGGGGUUCACGUUGGAUUAUAGGAACAAUUUCUUCUCCAAAAGAGCACUGAGGUGCUGGCACAGCUGCCCUGGGAACAGGGGGUCACUGUUCCUGGAGGUGUUCCAGUGCCAUGGGGAUGUGGCACUGAGGGACGUGGGCAGUGGGCAUGGCAGGUUUAGGUUGGAUAUGAGGAGGAAGCUUUUCACCCAGAGGGUGGUGACGCACUGAACAGGUUGCCCAAGGAGCUGUGGAUGCCCCAUCCCUGGAGGCACUCAAGGCCAGGCUGGAUGUGGCUCUGGGCAGCCUGGUCUGCUGGUUGGUGAGCCUGCACAUAGCAGGGGGGUUGAAACUAGAUUAUCUUUGAGGUCCUUUUCAACCCAGGCCAUUCUGUGAUGC
rnacentral:lncRNA from 1 species